UGCGAAGUAGCUCAGCUGGUUAGAGCAGCGGAAUCAUAAUCCGCGUGUCGGGGGUUCGACCCUACGUUUUAA
rnacentral:tRNA from 1 species